UAGGGAAUAUUGCAAAAUGGGCGAAAGCCCGAUGCAGCAACGCCGCGUGGGCGAUGAAGGCCUUCGGGUCGUAAAGCCCUUUUUGAGGGGAUGAGGAAGGACAGUACCCUCAGAAUAAGCCUCGGCUAACUACGUGCCAGCAGCCGCGGUAAAACGUAGGAGGCGAGCGUUAUCCGGAUUUACUGGGCGUAAAGCGCGUGCAGGCGGAUUGGGGAGUUGGAUGUGAAAGCUCCCGGCUUAACUGGGAGAGGUCGUUCAAUACUUCCAGACUUGAGUGCAGUAGAGGGAAGUGGAAUUCCGGGUGUAGUGGUGAAAUGCGUAGAUAGCCGGAGGAACACCAGUGGCGAAAGCGGCUUCCUGGACUGUAACUGACGCUCAGACGCGAAAGCUAGGGUAGCAAACG
rnacentral:rRNA from 1 species